AGCGAACGCUGGCGGCAGGCUUAACACAUGCAAGUCGAACGGGCAUCUUCGGAUGUCAGUGGCAGACGGGUGAGUAACACGUGGGAACGUACCCUUCGGUUCGGAAUAACUCAGGGAAACUUGAGCUAAUACCGGAUACGCCCUUUUGGGGAAAGGUUUACUGCCGAAGGAUCGGCCCGCGUCUGAUUAGCUUGUUGGUGGGGUAACGGCCUACCCAGGCGACGAUCAGUAGCUGGUCUGAGAGGAUGAUCAGCCACACUGGGACUGAGACACGGCCCAGACUCCUACGGGAGGCAGCAGUGGGGAAUAUUGGACAAUGGGCGCAAGCCUGAUCCAGCCAUGCCGCGUGAGUGAUGAAGGCCUUAGGGUUGUAAAGCUCUUUUGUCUGGGACGAUAAUGACGGUACCGGAAGAAUAAGCCCCGGCUAACUUCGUG
rnacentral:rRNA from 1 species